rnacentral:lncRNA from 1 species
AAGCAAAGGGCCCCAUCCAAGGGCUCAUACACUUCAGAGAAAUCCACAGGCAGUUCGGUCAUGCCCUGAGUGUAUUACUGCACCUUUAUAUGCUGACCAGACACAUAGAAAGCUACGAUUCCAGAAGAGCCUGGAGCCUGCUGGCAUUUGGCACAGCAUCAGCUCUGCAGGCCUGGACAGAUGAGAAGCAGCUACACAAAGCAUUGUGCAUGUCACUGAGACCUGCAGGACUCACACAAAUGCUCUGUAGGCGUGCAGCCACUGCAGCUAUCUGCCAUCACCUCCCAUGGCUGCAGUGCCCCAGCAGAUCAGUCUGACAGCUGCUUUUCCAGAUGUCCAGCAACUAGGGUUGCCAGAAAAGCAGCUGCUUUCUGUGAAAAUAGGAGAGAGUAGUUAUGUUUUUCUUGUAUGAUGGGAGAUGAACUUGCAGAAUGCCAGACAUCCCUUAUCUCAAGGAUUGGCUGUGCUGCUGGGUCUCUGCAGCAGUCUUCAGACAGUAAUGGCAUAGGCAACGGGGGAAAAAAAAAAAUAUGCAAGGGAAGAAUGUGCAGCAUGGGCAAGGUAGUCACAGUCAGCACCUCCAUCCUGCUUUCUUCCGGAUUGCAAACCCUCCUGUCCAGUAGGUUUCCUUUCAGCACAUAAUGGGGAGGGAGGCUCCUGCCUGGCCUUAAAACACUCCACCCCCCAAGGGCUGUGCUUUUUGUUUGUCCUUGGCUGAACAAAGGGCACAUGACCAACCCUCCUUCUCACCUCUUCCUCCUUCUGUAGGCUAUCAUGUUGUGCUAGUCGGAACAGACAGUCGUAAACAGGGUUCACCAAAGCCAACAUGGGCAUGUUGUUCACCUGAAAGAAGGCAGGAGCUAUUGUCAGCUUGGUGGCAGAAGGGGAAGAGCCUUCAGCUAUUUUAAAUAAUUCCCUUGUCACACUUCAAAGAAGGGAGAAUUUAGUUGUGCUGCCAAAUGCAGUAAUGGUGUUAUUUACAUAGAAAACCAAACUUUUGACUCUCCAAGAGCCACAGAAACUCAGCAAGUGAUGGGAAAACAUCUAUUUUUAAAUGUAAAUGGGUAGUCAGAGGAAAUACACUUCUUGUAUCAGCAUUAUUCCUGCCUGCAAGAAUUGCAUCGCUUCUACAUCCGCACCGAGCAGGCAUCUAAAUACACACACUGCAGCAAAGGCUUGCAGACAAAUUCAAUUAGUACAUGGGCUAGAAAUUGUUUCAGCACCUAUGUGAUUAAACAAAAUGCAGUUACCCUGGGACUUAACAGCAACUAGUAUGAUCUAGGAUAUUCAGAGCAGGUUAAACCAGGGGAUUUCAAACACCAGAUACAAAACAUAGUUGCUCAGGCUUUGUGACCGUCCUCAGAGCCAUCUCUGCCUCUUCCAGGCUGAUUACUUGCUUAUAUGUAGCAAUAACCUGGGAGCAUCCUCAUUCUGAGAACUGGCUCUGGUCCCACACUGCUGAGCUGUGGCCCUGGGGUGUUCUAACACACAUUCAACACUUCCGCCCUGGACCCUUCUGGUACCCUUCAGCAACACACAGGUGUUCCUGCUCUGGCUCCUUACCUUAAGGUAGUCAAAGAUGUUGCAGAUGAAUGUGACAUAGCAGAUCCAUGCCUGCAGUGACCGGUUGCGCAGAUCCUCUCUGUCCUUGUACUCCUGCUGCAGCCGGUUCAGCAGGCUCCUCCGGAAGAUGCUCUGGCCACCCUGUUUGCUCUCUGCCUAAGACCCCACAUAAGCAGGAUGGAGGGAUGAAAUGGGCAGAGAGGGAUAGGGGGGACAGGGAUUUGAAUGUGGCAGGACCAUCCUGAUACCCUCCUAUAAUGCCUGGAGACAUAGGAAGGCUGCAGCUGUCUGCACCCACCAGCUGCACAUCUGUAUCCUGCCAGUACAGGGAGCAAGAGAGAUGAUAGCUGGAGAGUCAGAGUGCAGGGCUAGAAGUAGUCCUGGCCUAGCACAGGUUAGCAACAUUUUCCUAUCCAGACACAAAUAUCUCUUCUUACCUGGAUGAUGGUGUAGCAGAUGCGCCCUGCUUCCUUGCUGAACACACAGUCUUUGAGGGACUGGUCAACUAUAAUAUUGGCCACUUUGUCCAGGUCCACAUUGCUGGGGUCUGUAGAGAGGAGAAAUACUGUCAGGAUCCAAUAUUUCUUGUGCCCUGCUUGCUCCAAGAUACCUGGGAAGCAACCAAGGUUGGCAUGGAGCACAGUACAACCAUGUCAUAUGGUACAAAAACUCAUGCUCACCCCCACAACCCCUCUUGCAAAUCAGCUGCUUUGGAGAUACCAUCUCCAACAACUGCACAGUCCUUCCAGGCUGGACACACAGCCAUAAAGAUGGAAAAGUGAUGGAGAAAAACAUGGUAAUGAAGGGAGGCAAGAAGUUGAUCGGAAUCUGAAGUCCCAGCAUUGCUUUGAAGUUGGGCUAGUGGCAGACAGAUGAGCAAAUUCCCACUGGGCUUUGAAUAGAGACAUGACCUGUGAGCAGGAGACACUGGGGGACAGGGUGCAGAAACUGGCACAGGGAGAAGAGUGAGGGGCAAGAUCUGAAGAGAGAUGCUGAGUGAGAACAGGAGAAGAAGGCAUCCCUGAUCAGAGGAAAGCACUAUGAUGAGCAUGGUCCUCUGAGAACCUGGAUUUUAACAGCUGCACCAUUCAACAGUGAGGUGGAGACAGAAGAGAAGAGGCAGGAAACAAAGAACCUCCUGGAGGGAUUCAGUCCCAUAUAAAUAGCAUUUAUGAAACAGCUUUUCUACUUAGCAACUGGUGACAGCAGAAGGGGCCCAAGUAUCUAGCCACAUCAGUGAGCCAAGCUAAGCGUGGCAAAAAAAAGCUAGAAAAAACCUGCUGACCUUUGAGUGCUGUUUUCAGCAGCUUCUGAGUCUCAAUGUCAAAUGACUGUAUUUUAUACUCUUCUUUGCUUGUUUCCCCCAUGACCGGCUUCCUCCAACAACAAGAAUCAGGGGAACAGAUGUGCUAGCAGGAGCCCCUGCCGGGCCGCCCCAGCUCCUCCAGCCUCCGAGGCUGCGCAGGGCGGACCGCGGAGCGCAGC